rnacentral:rRNA from 1 species
AAGGCAAAAGCGCGCUUAACUGCGAGACCCACAAGUCGAGCAGGUACGAAAGUAGGUCUUAGUGAUCCGGUGGUUCUGUAUGGAAGGGCCAUCGCUCAACGGAUAAAAGGUACUCUGGGGAUAACAGGCUGAUACCGCCCAAGAGUUCAUAUCGACGGCGGUGUUUGGCACCUCGAUGUCGGCUCAUCUCAUCCUGGGGCUGAAGCAGGUCCCAAGGGUAUGGCUGUUCGCCAUUUAAAGAGGUACGCGAGCUGGGUUUAGAACGUCGUGAGACAGUUCGGUCCCUAUCUACCGUGGGCGCUGGAAAUUUGAGAGGAUCUGCUCCUAGUACGAGAGGACCAGAGUGGACGAACCUCUGGUGUACCGGUUGUGACGCCAGUCGCAUCGCCGGGUAGCUAUGUUCGGAAGGGAUAACCGCUGAAAGCAUCUAAGCGGGAAGCCUACCUCAAGAUAAGAUUUCCCUAGGACUUUAUGUCCUCUAAAGAGCCGUUCGAGACUAGGACGUUGAUAGGUUGGAUGUGGAAGCAUAGUGAUAUGUGAAGCUGACCAAUACUAAUUGCUCGUGAGGCUUGACUAU